CUAUGCUUAGCCUUAAACCUAAAUAAUUUCCUAACAAAAUUAUUCGCCAGAGAACUACAAGCCAGAGCUUAAAACUCAAAGGACUUGGCGGUGCUUUAUACCCGCCUAGAGGAGCCUGUUCUAUAAUCGAUAAACCCCGAUAAACCUUACCACUCUUUGCCAACUCAGCCUAUAUACCGCCAUCUU
rnacentral:rRNA from 1 species